AUGGUGGGUGAAAAAGUUGAGAAGCCGGAUACUAAGGAGAAGAAACCUGAAGCUAACAAGGCUUUGCCAGUGGCAAGGUGAAAAGGGGAACCUCAGAGCUAAAAAGCCCAAGAAGGGGAAGCCCAAAAUCCUGUCCUCAUUGGAGGAAUUGGCAGAUAUUCCUGAUCUGCUAUGUAUUCCAGAAAGGCCAUGUACGAGAGGAGGUACUUAGCUGCUAAACCCAAGAUUGAAAAGAAUCUCGCAACCGUUACAAACCCAGUUGAGGUGACAAGAAUGGUGAUGCCUGGCUAUUUAAACUUCACAAAAUGCCUUGAUAUUAUCCAACAGAGAUGUGCCUCAAAAGCUGUCCAGCCAUCGCAAGAAACUCUGCAGUCAGCAUGUGAGAAAACUUGGAGCCAGCACGGCCCUCGAGACCAUUCUGCUCAUCCUCCCUUGGUGCCACCAAGGCAGGAGGGUGGUUUUCCUGGAGCAGCUGGGCAGUAGCUUGUUACUUGUGGCUGGACCUCUGGUCUUCCAUGGAGUUCCUCUGUGAAGGACACACCAGAAAUUUGUCAUCACCACCUCCAUAAAAAUUGAUAUCAGCAGUGUGAGAAACCCAAAACAUCUUACCAAUGCCUACUUUAAGAAGCAGUUGUGGAAGCCUAGUCAGUAGGAGGGUGAGAUCUUUGACAGAAAAAGAGAAAUGUAAGACUACAAAGCAGUGCAAGGCUGAUCAGAAAACCAUGGACUGGCAAAUUUUACCAAAACUCAAAGCUAUUCCUCAGCUCCAGGGCUACCUGCAAUCUGUGUGUGCCCUGGUGAAUGGAAUUUAUCCUCACAAAUUGGUGUUCUAA
rnacentral:lncRNA from 1 species